rnacentral:tRNA from 1 species
GGAGCUAUAGCAAAGAGGGUUUAUGCGUGGGACUGAAAAUCCUGAGAUCCUGGUUCGAUGCCAGGUGGCUCCA